GGUCCGAUGGUGUAGUGGUUAUCACGUCUGCUUUACAUGCAGAAGGUCCCCGGUUCGAACCCGGGUCGGACCA
rnacentral:tRNA from 1 species